UUCCCUGAGUUGUAAAUCCAUUAUUUUCUAUAAGCUAUUGUGAAUUGCAAAGAACUUCUGUUUUGUCAUGAUCAUCAUUUCCUUACUUUGAGUUGCUGUAAUAAAUUAUAAUGUUUACAUACUCUGCAACUGCAUGCAGACAAUAUCUGAAGUUAUAUUUUUCUUUUCUCUUUAGCUGAGCUGGAAUGCACAGAUGCCAUGGGCCUGUUAGUCCCAGUGCCAGCCUGAGAAGGGCAAAGAGUCUUGUCCUGGCCAUACUGAAUGGGGAUAACUUCUCCGGAUCACUUCUUUUUAGUCAAGGAUGGAAAACAUAUGCUCAAGACAUAUCUUGUAGGAAUUAGUGAAGAAAAGAGGCUUCAAGGUGAGAACUACAUUGUUUUUUUCCUUUUCGUUUCAGAAAUCUUAACUUAUCUCCAGUCUGUAUUCUAACUGUAUAAGAAACUCAACCAAAAUAUCAGUAGGUGAAUUAAUGAAACACUUGUCAAGCUCUUCCCAGGUUCUCAGCUUAAGAACAGAGAUGAGGUUACUCAUUUGAAGACCAAUCCUGUCCUCACUAAAUUAAAUGACAAAAUCUUUCUUUAUCUUCAGUACUGCAGAUCAGAAUCUAAACCCAUAAUAGACUAAAAGACUAAAACCUGAUUAAACUUCAAUGCAUGUUUUAAUGCAGACUGAAAUCCCUGGAAUAUUUCAAGGCUUACAUAGGCAUUGGUAUUGAUAGACUGUUCCAACCUGUGGCCUGGUCAGGUGGGCUUUCAAAUCUAACAUCAGCUGUUUUGGAAAGAAAAAAUAAUAAUGUUGGAAGAACAAUUUUUCGUGUUUAUUCCCAGGCUGAUCUCUAAAACCUAGAAAGCUACUUAGAUGCAAAGACAUUAAGCUGGUUUUUUCCUUUUUUUGACUCCUCGAUUAAAAUGAGGCAGGUGCCUAGCCAGAGGUAAGGAUGUUCCAUAGAACUGCCCUGAAGUGUUGAUCUUACAUGGAUGAUUGUUGCUCUCCAGAAAUAAUAACGGGCCUCAGUUCUGUGAAUUCAAAUAUGGGUGCCUAAAUAGAGUUUUACAGUUUAAAGAUAAAUAGAUCAAGACAGCCAGAUCCAAAUGCUCUGACCCAGGCUCUACUGUUUAAACGGUCAUGGUUUCCAUCUCAUGUUAUUCAAACAAUGCAAUAAUUUUUUUUGGUGCAGUGUGAAACUGUUAACACAUAAAAG
rnacentral:lncRNA from 1 species